UACAGAGACUGCAAGCGUUGUUCGGAUUCAUUGGGCGUAAAGGGUGCGCAGGCGGACCGUUAAGUCGGAUGUGAAAUCUCACAGCCUAACUGUGAUAGGUCAUUCGAGACUGGCGGACUAGAGGAUUGGAGAGGAGACUGGAAUAGUCGGUGUAGCAGUGAAAUGCGUAGAGAUCGACUAGAACACCGGUGGCGAAGGCAAGUCUCUGGACAAUUCCUGACGCUCAUGCACGAAAGCCAGGGGAGCAAACGGG
rnacentral:rRNA from 1 species